rnacentral:rRNA from 1 species
UAGGGAAUCUUCGGCAAUGGACGGAAGUCUGACCGAGCAACGCCGCGUGAGUGAAGAAGGUUUUCGGAUCGUAAAGCUCUGUUGUAAGAGAAGAACGAGUGUGAGAGUGGAAAGUUCACACUGUGACGGUAACUUACCAGAAAGGGACGGCUAACUACGUGCCAGCAGCCGCGGUAAUACGUAGGUCCCGAGCGUUAUCCGGAUUUAUUGGGCGUAAAGCGAGCGCAGGCGGUUAGAUAAGUCUGAAGUUAAAGGCUGUGGCUUAACCAUAGUACGCUUUGGAAACUGUUUAACUUGAGUGCAGAAGGGGAGAGUGGAAUUCCAUGUGUAGCGGUGAAAUGCGUAGAUAUAUGGAGGAACACCGGUGGCGAAAGCGGCUCUCUGGUCUGUAACUGACGCUGAGGCUCGAAAGCGUGGGGAGCAAACAGGAUUAGAUACCCUGGUAGUCCACGCCGUAAACGAUGAGUGCUAGGUGUUGGGUCCUUUCCGGGGCUCAGUGCCGCAGCUAACGCAUUAAGCACUCCGCCUGGGGAGUACGACCGCAAGGUUG